CGUUUGGUCAUAUAACAGUAAAUUAUCAGCAAGCAUAACGUAGCAUUGCGUGCGUAAAUCGCGUAACAGGUUAAGUGUAGAUACAGAGCGUAAUAUACGUGCGCAUCCACAGAAACAGUCCUAUAUUGGCAAAAUUGGCUGUUCUUCUUUUAUCAUUAUACUAAGACGUAAAUACUGCUCUAUUUAGUUUCUACCAGAUGUUUAGUUAACUAUAAUCAAGAGUAAGCCCGUGAAAGUAAUUUAGUUAAAACUAUAGUUAAUAGUUCUUAAUCAGAAAUUAAUGUGUUUUAGAUGCGCGGUGUUUUACGUAAAUGUUUAAGUAUUAUAUGUGUUGCAUUGCUUAUGUAUGUUUUUAUUCAAAUAUCAGGUUUAAAGAAAAUGAGACGUAAACUAUCAGUAAACGAAAAAGUUGCAGAUACUGCACGAAAAAAGGUCCGCUUUUCCCAGCUAGCAAACGAAGCUUUUAGCAACUUGGCUGGUUCGGUGGUCUACAAUCGUGUUCCGAAAUGUGCAAGCACCACCAUCCGUAAACUGAUAGUAAAACUUUCAAUUCAAUCGCGAUUUAAAGUUCACAUAGAAAGUAAACCGUUUAUUAAGCAAUGCUUAACUGAAACGGAACAGACAAACUUGGCACACUCGUGGUCGACACUUGGCAAUACAACAAUGUUUGUUCGGCAUUUAUACUACGUGGAUUUUACAAGGUUCGGGUUCCAGCAGCCUACCUAUUUAAACGUUAUCCGCGACCCAGUGGAGCGUUACGUAUCCGCUUACUACUUUAAUCGGUUCGGCUUUAAGGGUUGGACUGCUGAAAAGGCGAAGAAAUGGCUCGUAAAAAUGAGCGACGACAAACGAUCCAUGAGCUUGGAUGAUUGUGUUUCUCGCAACGUUACACAAUGUUUGUAUGACAACCCGUCUCGGUAUUUAAAUUAUUUUUGUGGUCAAGACAACCAGUGCAGCCGGAGCAACGAGUGGAGCUUAAAUAAAGCAAAGGAGAAUGUGAUGAACAGUUACUUGGUGGUAGGUCUUACUGAGGAUAUGGAAAAUACUCUUAAAAUAUUAGAACACACGCUGCCAAGAUACUUCGACCGUGCCCGAGAAAUGUUUGCUUCUGUGAAUGGUAAGUGAAGGUGUGACGUAGAGAGUACUUUGGUCAAUAUACAGCGAACCAUAUAUAGUCAUAAGCGAUACGACAUACGAAAACAGCGAACAAAAGACAACCAUCAGAAGAAACAAAACGGAAACUGCGAACUGCGUUGUUCUACGAAGAUCAGUUUUACAAAUUCG